GUGGGGAAUCUUGCGCAAUGGGCGAAAGCCUGACGCAGCCAUGCCGCGUGAAUGAUGAAGGUCUUAGGAUUGUAAAAUUCUUUCACCGGGGACGAUAAUGACGGUACCCGGAGAAGAAGCCCCGGCUAACUUCGUGCCAGCAGCCGCGGUAAUACGAAGGGGGCUAGCGUUGCUCGGAAUUACUGGGCGUAAAGGGCGCGUAGGCGGACAAUUUAGUCAGAGGUGAAAGCCCAGGGCUCAACCUUGGAAUUGCCUUUGAUACUGGCUGUCUUGAGUACGGGAGAGGUGAGUGGAACUCCGAGUGUAGAGGUGAAAUUCGUAGAUAUUCGGAAGAACACCAGUGGCGAAGGCGACUCACUGGCCCGUUACUGACGCUGAGGCGCGAAAGCGUGGGGAGCAAACAGGAUUAGAAACCCUUGUAGUCC
rnacentral:rRNA from 1 species